rnacentral:rRNA from 1 species
GUGAGGAAUAUUGGUCAAUGGACGAGAGUCUGAACCAGCCAAGUCGAGUGAAGGAAGACGGUUCUAUGAAUUGUAAACUUCUUUUGUGCAGGAAUAAAGUGGGUUACGUGUAACCUUUUGUAUGUACUGUACGAAUAAGGAUCGGCUAACUCCGUGCCAGCAGCCGCGGUAAUACGGAGGUUCCGAGCGUUAUCCGGAUUUAUUGGGUUUAAAGGGUGCGUAGGUGGAUUGAUAAGUCAGCGGUGAAAGUUUGCAGCUUAACUGUAAAAUUGCCGUUGAAACUGUCGGUCUUGAGUGCAAAUGAGGUAGGCGGAAUGUGUUGUGUAGCGGUGAAAUGCUUAGAUAUAACACAGAACUCCGAUUGCGAAGGCAGCUUACUGGGAUGCAACUGACACUGAUGCACGAAAGCGUGGGUAUCAAACAGGAUUAGAAACCCCGGUAGUCC